GGAUUCCCCUAGUAACUGCGAGUGAAGCGGGAAAAGCUCAAAUUUAAAAUCUGGUAGUCUUUGGCUGCCCGAGUUGUAAUCUAGAGAAGCGUUAUCCGUGCUGGACCGUGUAUAAGUCUCCUGGAAUGGAGCGUCAUAGAGGGUGAGAAUCCCGUCUUUGACACGGACUACCAGUGCUUUGUGAUGCGCUCUCAAAGAGUCGAGUUGUUUGGGAAUGCAGCUCUAAAUGGGUGGUAAAUUCCAUCUAAAGCUAAAUAUUGGCGAGAGACCGAUAGCGAACAAGUACCGUGAGGGAAAGAUGAAAAGAACUUUGGAAAGAGAGUUAAAUAGUACGUGAAAUUGUUGAAAGGGAAACGCUUGAAGUCAGUCGCGUUGAUCAGGGAUCAACCUUGCUUUUGCUUGGUGCACUUCCUGGUUUACGGGUCAGCAUCAAUUUUGACCGAUGGAAAAAGGUCAGGGGAAUGUGGCAUCUUCGGAUGUGUUAUAGCCUCUGAUUGUAUACAUUGGUUGGGAUUGAGGAACUCAGCACGCCGCAAGGCCGGGUUUUUACCACGUUCGUGCUUAGGAUGCUGGCAUAAUGGCUUUAAUCGACCCGUCUUGAAACACGGACCAAGGAGUCUAACAUGCCUGCGAGUGUUUGGGGUGGAAAACCCAAGCGCGUAAUGAAAGUGAAAGUUGGGAUCUCUGUCGUGGAGAGCACCGACGCCCGGACCAGACCUUCUGUGACGGAUCCGCGGUAGAGCAUGUAUGUUGGGACCCGAAAGAUGGUGAACUAUGCCUGAAUAGGGUGAAGCCAGAGGAAACUCUGGUGGAGGCUCGUAGCGAUUCUGACGUGCAAAUCGAUCGUCGAA
rnacentral:rRNA from 1 species